rnacentral:misc_RNA from 1 species
GAUGAAGAACGUAGCGAAAUGCGAUACUUGGUGUGAAUUGCAGAAUCCCGUGAACCAUCGAGUCUUUGAACGCAAGUUGCGCCCGAAGCCACUAGGCCGAGGGCACGCCUGCCUGGGCGUCACACGCCGUUGCCCCCCCAUCUACUCCUUCGGGAUUGCGGGGGGGCGGAUGAUGGCCUCCCGUGCGCCUAGCCGCGCGGUUGGCAUAAAUACCAAGUCCUCGGCGACGCACGCCACGACAAUCGGUGGUUGCGCAACCUCGGUUGCCCGUCGUGUGCGUUCGUCGCGCAUCGAGGGCUCGAAAAAAUGCUCGGCUCCGGCUGGGCUUUCAACGCGACCCCAGGUCAGGCGGGGUUACCCGCUGAAUUUAAGCAUAUCAAUAAGCGGAGGA